GCAGGACAGAGGCCGGCGAGGGCCCAGGAACCGGGAUUUGCUGCGUAGAGGGAGCCGGAGCGUCGCCCCCUGGCAGCUGAGGAGCGGAUGUCGGGGACAGCCGGGAGCAGGAGGGAGAGGCCCGACAGGCGCCUUGCGCCUCUGAGGGUCCCGCUGCCAGACAGGAAUGCGCAGAUGACGACGGCUGAAGGGGACUCGGCUCUGUCCGGAUCCGCCUCGGCAGGGGCUGGCGGCCGAGCUGCUGCGUGGAGGCACUGGGGACACAGCUGAGCCGGGUAAGGGGCGCACGAGGAGCAAGGCGCUCCAGGUAAAGGAAAGGGAACACGAGGAGCACGGACCCCAGGUAAGGGGGACACGAGGAGCAAGGCCCUGCUCCGCAUGCGGGUCCCUGGCCCUCCAGCCCCACAGGGCAGCUGGGGGCGCCGCGGGCGCCCGGCCCUGUCAGGCAGAGCCGGUUAAUUCUCUUUAUGACGUUUUCUUUUUUCUGGUUUAUUUUCUGACCUUUUUAUGAUACUGGCUUUUGGAGGACUUUUUUGAUGCUAAUCUUUGAAUUCACAUUUUUUGUGAUGCUUUUAUAAACGCUCUUUUUGACUUUGUUGUCAAUUAUGCUAUUUUUUUUUAUUCCCCUCC